AUGCCGCACGGAGACGACGCGGGGCAAUACGAGGAGCUGAAGGGGAUGCACUACCUGCACACAGCGCUCACGGAGGCGAUGCGGCUGUACCCGCCGGUGCCGAUCAACACGCGCGUGGCGGCGGCCGCAGACGUGCUUCCGAACGGCACGACGGUGCGGACCGGCUGGUGUGCGGACUACUCGACAUACACAAUGGGGAGGAUGCCGCGGCUGUGGGGUGAUGACUGCCGCCAGUUCCGACCCGAGCGGUGGCGCCAUAGUGAUCGCGGCGAGUUCGUGGCGAUCAACGCGGCGAGGUACCCGGUGUUCCACGCGGGGCCGCGGGCAUGCCUCGGAAGGGAGUUGGCUUACAUGCAGAUGAAGGCCGUGGUGGCCGCCGUGAUCCGGAGGUUCACGGUGUUGAUGGUGGAGACGCCGGCGAGCAUGGACGCACCGCCGCCUUACGAGCUCCGCGUGCGGAUCAAGAAGCGGGAGGAUCACUUCUAA
rnacentral:rRNA from 1 species